rnacentral:rRNA from 1 species
AACGAACGCUGGCGGCAUGCCUAAUACAUGCCAGUCGAACGAGACCUUCGGGUCUAGUGGCGCACGGGUGUGUAACGCGUGGGAACCUUAACUUAGGUUCGGAAUAACUCUCCGACAGGGAUGCUAAUACCGGAUAAUGUCUUCGGACCAAGGAUUUAUUGCCUUUGGAUGGGCCCGCGUUGGAUUAGCUAGUUGGUAGGGUAAUAGCCUACCAAGGCGACGAUCCAUAGCUGGUCUGAGAGGAUGAUCAGCCACACUGGGACUGAGACACGGCCCAGACUCCUACGGGAGGCAGCAGUGGGGAAUAUUGGACAAUGGGCGAAAGCCUGAUCCAGCAAUGCCGCGUGAGUGAUGAAGGCCUUAGGGUUGUAAAGCUCUAUUACCCGGGAUGAUAAUGACAGUACCGGGAGAAUAAGCUCCGGCUAACUCCGUG